rnacentral:rRNA from 1 species
GAUGAACGCUGGCGGCGUGCCUAACACAUGCAAGUCGAGCGAACAGACGAGGAGCUUGCUCCUCUGACGUUAGCGGCGGACGGGUGAGUAACACGUGGAUAACCUACCUAUAAGACUGGGAUAACUUCGGGAAACCGGAGCUAAUACCGGAUAAUAUAUUUAACCGCAUGGUUCAAUAGUGAAAGACGGUUUUGCUGUCACUUAUAGAUGGAUCCGCGCCGCAUUAGCUAGUUGGUAAGGUAACGGCUUACCAAGGCAACGAUGCGUAGCCGACCUGAGAGGGUGAUCGGCCACACUGGAACUGAGACACGGUCCAGACUCCUACGGGAGGCAGCAGUAGGGAAUCUUCCGCAAUGGGCGAAAGCCUGACGGAGCAACGCCGCGUGAGUGAUGAAGGUCUUCGGAUCGUAAAACUCUGUUAUUAGGGAAGAACAAAUGUGUAAGUAACUAUGCACGUCUUGACGGUACCUAAUCAGAAAGCCACGGCUAACUACGUG